GUCAGCUGGAAAUUCAGAGUGCCAGGAGAAAAUUCCAAACUUGUUUUGCAGAAGAAGAUUCUGCUGUUUCACUGAUCUGGAAAGUCCCGUCCAUCCCUUGGUGGUUUCACCUUGCACUCAGGAUGGUACUUGAAUCGUGCUGUCUGCCUUGCAGCUACAAAAUACUGUUAGCAUGGGCUCAGAAGAGAUGCAGAGGAGAUCAGCCCAGGUCAAGAAAUGAAACGUGAUGAUGUACUUUUGAAACAGUUAUGCCAGAGGACCAGACACCUUUGCAUCUGGAUUUGCAGAUGUCUUUGGCCAAGCUAGAUAAUGAGAGGUGUGUGGUACAUGUGAGCUGCAUUAAACUGCUGACCAGUUUGUCACAGAAUAUCCUUAUGCCCUUUUUCUCUCAACCUCCUGCAGCUGGACAUUCCUUGCAGGCUGUCUGUUCAUUGCUACAAGUGGCAGAGUAUCUUUAAACUUAUCAAAUAGAAAGAUGAAUGUCCUGCUGCAUUUUCCUUUGUGUUAAUACACAAUUCCUCUGGAAAAGACUUAAAACAUAAAAUCAAGAACCUGUGAGCCUGCCCUCGGAUUCUCCAUGGGAACAGAGGUAGGAUUCCUGAUUAUUUCAGUCCUCCUAAAUCUGUCAUUUCUUUGUGGAGCAGCAAGAAACUACUAAAGAAUCUACCAAAAAAAACCCACAUGCUUGUAUGACUGGGAUGAAUCUACAGUUUCAAAGAUGGUGGUAAGAAGUGUUUAAUUUUGCUGUUUGAUUGUGAGCUGCACAUUGCAUCUGCUAAAUAGUGUCUUGGCACAAAAAAAUCUGAAAAAAACCCUGAUUUACUAUACUUUUGCUUCUCCCUUUCAAAUACAUGUAGAGACCAGAAAAUCAC